GUGGUGUACUUAUUACAAGGAGAGCCAGGUGGCGUACUCUAUUCCCAAGAGGACCAGGCAGUGUGGUGUAUUCCAAAGAGAGCCAGUCGGUCUGGUGUACUCCAAACAGAGCCAAGCGGCAUAGUAUAGUCCAAGGAGAGCCAGCCUGCGUGGUAUACUCCAAGGAGAGCCAUCCUGUGUGGUGUAUUCCAAAGAGAGCCACGCUGCAUGGUAUGUUGCAAAGAGAGCCAGCCUGCACGGUAUGUUGCAAAGAGAGCCAGCCUGCACGGUAUGUUGCAAAGAGAGCCAGCCUGCACGGUAUGUUGCAAAGAGAGCCAGGUGGCGUGAUAUAUUCCAAAAAGAGCCAGGCGGUGUGGUGUAUUCCAAAAGGAGGCAAGCGCCGUGGUAUUUCCCAUGAACAAGGCAGGUGGUGCUGUAUGUUCCAUGAGCGAAGCAGGCGGCAUAGCCUAUUCCAUAGGAGAGGCAGGUGGCGUAGCCUAUUCCAUAGCAGAGCCAGGUAGCGUAGUCUAUUCCACAGCAGAGGCAAGCAGCGUAGUAUAUUCCAUAGAAGGGGCAGGUGGAAUAGUAUGUUCCAUAACAGAGGCAGGUCGCAUAGUAUAUUCCAGAAGGAGGCAGGCGGCACAGUAUAUUUCAAGACGAGGAAGGCAGCGCUGUAUAAUCCAAGAAGAGGCAGGCGGCGCAGUAUAGUCCAAAAAGAGGCAGAUGGCAUCAUGUAUUCCAAGAAGGUACGGGUGGUGUAGUAUAUUCCAAAAAGAGGCAUGUGCCGUAAUACAUUCCAAAGAAGAUACAGGCGGUAUAGUAUAUUCCAAAUACAA
ensembl:lncRNA